UAUUCUCAGUAACAUAACAUGAAUGUUGGUACCUGCAAUGAGGGUUUCUCAACCUUCCUAGCACCUAAGCAUGGCAAUGUGAAAAAGUUGUAGGUCAUAAAAUAGAAAUGGUAUAUUUAUUGUGUGUCCAGCAGAAAACUUUAAAAGUUCUGAUUCAGCUGGACAGAGCUCCCUUUCACCUGAAGCUUGGACAUGAUGGUUGGAGCUACAGCAGAUGUGAAUCCCAAAGUGACAUUGAGGAUAGAUGCCAUAAGCUGAGUGUAUGGAGGAGCCAAAAGAGAAACAUCACAGAUUCUAUGGCAGGAAGGACUGAGGAGUGUGGCUUCAUUUGGUUCGGGAACUGCCUCCUACAAAGGUGGUGUUGACAACGGUUGAAAGACAAGCUUUGGGCUGAGAUUGGCUGGGUUUGAUUUCUUGAGCAUCUGUGGAAUCAGAAAAAUAACAGCACUUGUCUUCUAGAAUUAACAAUUCUAAUGAAGUAACAAGUGUGAAGUGUGAAGCACAGUGCCUGUCACAUGGUGAGAGCCCCGUAAGUAGUAACAAUUAAUAAUAUGACUAAAAAUAAUUAACUCAAUUGGAAAUAUCCAGCAACUCUAGGGAUAUGAGAAUGUAUAUAGCCUUGAAAAUGAUUAAAAAUAUAUUAUCA
rnacentral:lncRNA from 13 species